rnacentral:rRNA from 1 species
CCAGACUCCUACGGGAGGCAGCAGUAGGGAAUCUUCGGCAAUGGACGGAAGUCUGACCGAGCAACGCCGCGUGAGUGAAGAAGGUUUUCGGAUCGUAAAGCUCUGUUGUAAGAGAAGAACGAGUGUGAGAGUGGAAAGUUCACACUGUGACGGUAGCUUACCAGAAAGGGACGGCUAACUACGUGCCAGCAGCCGCGGUAAUACGUAGGUCCCGAGCGUUGUCCGGAUUUAUUGGGCGUAAAGCGAGCGCAGGCGGUUUGAUAAGUCUGAAGUUAAAGGCUGUGGCUCAACCAUAGUUCGCUUUGGAAACUGUCAAACUUGAGUGCAGAAGGGGAGAGUGGAAUUCCAUGUGUAGCGGUGAAAUGCGUAGAUAUAUGGAGGAACACCGGUGGCGAAAGCGGCUCUCUGGUCUGUAACUGACGCUGAGGCUCGAAAGCGUGGGGAGCGAACAGGAUUAGAUACCCUGGUAGUCCACGCCGUAAACGAUGAGUGCUAGGUGUUGGAUCCUUUCCGGGAUUCAGUGCCGCAGCUAACGCAUUAAGCACUCCGCCUGGGGAGUACGACCGCAAGGUUGAAACUCAAAGGAAUUGACGGGGCCCGCACAAG